AGUGAACGCUGGCGGUAGGCCUAACACAUGCAAGUCGAACGGCAGCACAGUAAGAGCUUGCUCUUACGGGUGGCGAGUGGCGGACGGGUGAGGAAUACAUCGGAAUCUACUUUUUCGUGGGGGAUAACGUAGGGAAACUUACGCUAAUACCGCAUACGACCUACGGGUGAAAGCAGGGGAUCUUCGGACCUUGCGCGAUUGAAUGAGCCGAUGUCGGCUUAGCUAGUUGGCGGGGUAAAGGCCCACCAAGGCGACGAUCCGUAGCUGGUCUGAGAGGAUGAUCAGCCACACUGGAACUGAUACACGGUCCAGCCUCCUACGGGAGGCAGCAGUGUGGAAUAUUGGACAAUGGGCGCAAGCCUGAUCCAGCCAUACCGCUUGGGUUAAGAAGGCCUUCGGGUUGUAAAGCCCUUUUGUUGGGAAAGAAAAGCAGCAGGUUAAUACCCCGCUGUUCUGACGGUACCCAAAGAAUAAGCACCGGCUAACUUCGUG
rnacentral:rRNA from 1 species